UACGGGGGGGGCAAGCGUUGUUCGGAAUUACUGGGCGUAAAGGGCUCGUAGGUGGCCAACUAAGUCAGACGUGAAAUCCCUCGGCUUAACCGGGGAACUGCGUCUGAUACUGGAUGGCUUGAGUUUGGGAGAGGGAUGCGGAAUUCCGGGUGUAGCGGGUGGAAUGCGUAGAGAUCCGGAAGAACACCAGUGGCGAAGGCGGUUAGCUGGGCAGUUGCUGACACUGAUGCGCGACAGCGUGGGGAGCAAACAGG
rnacentral:rRNA from 1 species